UUGUAUCAUACUUUAAUUUGAUUUUUUAUUUCUUGUAGGUAUUUAUUUAUUGCUCAAAAGAGUUUUUAACUUUAUCCAGAGUUGUUUGUUGCUUGAUCACUCACUCAUAUUGAGUAACAACUUUAAGAUUCAGAGUUGACUCGAAAUGGAAAAGAAAGGAAAGACUGUAUUUUUGUGUAUUUGGAUUUAUUUAUAUUUAUUGUUU